UACGUAGGUGGCAAGCGUUGUCCGGAAUUAUUGGGCGUAAAGCGCGCGCAGGCGGUCCUUUAAGUCUGAUGUGAAAGCCCACGGCUCAACCGUGGAGGGUCAUUGGAAACUGGGGGACUUGAGUACAGAAGAGGAAAGCGGAAUUCCACGUGUAGCGGUGAAAUGCGUAGAGAUGUGGAGGAACACCAGUGGCGAAGGCGGUGCUCUGGGCCGGAACUGACGCUGAGGAGCGAAAGCGUGGGGAGCAAACAGG
rnacentral:rRNA from 1 species